UUCUUAUCCAGAGAGGUGGAGGGACUAGGCCCUUUGAAACCUCAGCAACAGGCCCGCGUUGGUACUGUGCUAAUUCCAGAGUUUUGUACUGAAGAUAAGAA
rnacentral:ncRNA from 2 species